rnacentral:lncRNA from 7 species
CAGCCCCGUCUCCGUUCCCCGGAGCCCUCCCCGAUGGGGGCGACCUCAGCGGCCUCGCUGCUCCUCCUCCUCCCUCCUGGCGGUCUGAGGCAGAGACUGAACACAAGCUAGAUGCAAUUAAAGCAGUGUGUGAUUCUGGCCUACAGCCCGCGCAAGUUUGGAUACAGCUCAGUGUCCUUCUUGAAGUGACAAAAAGCUACGGUUUGCCCUUAGGCUAAAGGAAUUAUUUUUCUCCAGAGAAAAAAAUAAAAUGCUGCUGAUAUUGAAUACCUGAUAUUAUUUAUGUGAAUCUGUCAACUAAUCAUUUGGCUCCUGGGGACAGAGAACACAGCACAUUGUAACAACAGCAAUAGACUCAGCCAUGAGAGAUCUUUAUCAGGCAUCACAAAGAAUUUGAGGCAGCUGGCAGUUAUCAGCUGAAACAGGUAGUCAGUAGAAGUAUAGAAGAUAAAUAGAUAAUAGAAAAGCAAUCUGGAAACCUGGGAGAGAUAAUAAACCACUCUUCUAAAGGGGAGGUAACAACUUAGGUAGGUCACUGAUGAACUCAACUCCCAGAUCACUACUGUGUGUAAUUCUGCUGAAAAUACAGCUGCAGUUUACUGCUCGUGCUUUUCAGGUCUGAAGUAGUGUUCAAAACGUUGUUGGAAACACAGUUUGACAUAUUCAGUUACAUAAAUCAUUAUUACAGAGAAGUGAAGAAGGCUCAUAUAGCUGAAAAAAAAGCUGACCGCAAUCCUAGGGGCACCUCUGUUAAAUUUCAGUUGCUAGAGUAGGAAACUACUUAUUCUACUUCCUUUUGUCUGUACUGCCAGUGCAAUCAUUACAUAAUGUUCCUGUUAUG